rnacentral:snRNA from 1 species
AUCUCUGCGCAGUGGCAGUAUCGUAGCCUAUGAGGUUUAUCGAGGCGUGAUUAUUGCUAGUUGAAAACUUUACCCAAUACCCCGCCUAGACGACUUGAAAUAUAGUCGGCGACGGCAAUUUUUGACGGUCUCUACGGAGA